rnacentral:rRNA from 1 species
CGGAACGGGUGAGUAAUGCGUGACCAACCUGCCCCAUGCUCCAGAAUAGCUCUUGGAAACGGGUGGUAAUGCUGGAUGCUCCAACUUGACGCAUGUCUUGUUGGGAAAGUGUUUAGUGGCAUGGGAUGGGGUCGCGUCCUAUCAGCUUGUAGGCGGGGUAAUGGCCCACCUAGGCUUCGACGGGUAGCCGGCCUGAGAGGGCGGACGGCCACAUUGGGACUGAGAUACGGCCCAGACUCCUACGGGAGGCAGCAGAAA